UCUGAUGGCAGGGGAUCAAUUAUCCGGGCACGGGAUUGUGGCUAAUGGUCGACACCAGAUUGUCAAGUUUCACAGUUAGCUCAGCAAUUAUGAAUAUUGAAUGCAAAAUAAUGGCCCCGGUACGGUGGACCCCAUCCAAGUGGUCUGGAAUCCAUCACUUCAACCCAGGGGAGAGGAGGAGGGCCAUCUUUCAUCCAAGAGUGGACCGUGACUUCCCCAAGUGUGGCCGUCUGACAUCAAGACCGUGGCGGCAUUCUGUGCCAAAGAAACAGCUGAAGUGGGUUUGCUGGGAGGAGAAUUCUACUCUCAUUCUUUGGAACUGCUUCAGGCUCCCUGUAAUGACUCAGAGGCAGAAUAUUAUUUUUUCAGGCUAGAUCAAUUCUGGAGCUACAACAUAAACCCCCUCACAUCCAAUAACAGUCCCAUUGGUGCACGGCCAAUAUGAGGGAAAGAGAUUUGUUUACGUUACGUGGCGUAAAUAGAAAAUAUUAUAUAUUGUCCUCUCAAAAUAGGACUUGAGAAUUGAAAAAACGAGCGACUACACUGGCCAUGCCUGUGGUACAACAAGUAAAAACUCAAUUAUCUCAAGAGACUCGUUUUCCUCGGAUUAUGUUUAUGCUGAAACAGAUAUCUUAAGCGGAGGAACUGAUCCCUCCCCACAGUCUCUCCCGGUGUGAUUUCUGAUCCCCAUCCAGCAGGAUCCGAAUGCACCUGGGCCUCCAUCCCUUCGGAAGGCGCCAGCCCCAGACAGCGGCGCGGUCUUCACCCACGUUCCAACCAACUGCUGGCAGAACCGGGGACCAACACCUGAUUCUCAUGCUCUUUCCACCAGAACAGCAGCGGGCCUAAAAAGAUUAUUUCUAUUCUUCUCUGGAGAAGAAAGAACUCCCAACCUACAUCUCAUACUUGAGGAUCUAGGGAUGUCUCCGACCGCACCUCUCCCUCAUAUAGAUUUUGUGUAAAGUAUUGAGGCUCUCCAAUAAAUAACUCCAGUGGCA